CAUUUCGGGGGUUUGGUUGUGCUUUUAUUCUGAACCGUUGAACCGGAAAUGAAGUCGGUCGCCAUGGUAAACUUGACAGCGGUUGUUCAUUCCCAGGGUUCCGUGAGAGCCGUUUGCCCCACCCCACCUCUUCAGCGCUAUCUAUCUCAAUGUACGAUUCUGUGAGAGAAAAAACGGGGGCAAAAAUAAUUCAGAGAAACGCCGCGAACGGAGCGACUCUCACCUACCAGACCGGUUCAGGAGCGGAGCGGCCGCGGACCGUCGGCGCCGACAGCAACUGUCUCUCUCCGUUUGGAUGAAGGAAUACAAAAAGCCGAGAGAGUUGACAGCGGACCGUGCUGCUGCUGCGGCUGCUUGCGCCAAAACGGGGGGACACAGCGGAGGAUUUCCACGAAUAUCGGCCGGACAUUCGGACGCGGAGACGGACAGCCUGCUGCCGAGAGCCGCCUGUGCUCGACCGGAGAAGGUUUCCGAUGUGAGCAGUAACACAAAUUAACUCUACUGACAGAAAUAAAAAAAAAAAACGGACGGACUAGGGGCCUUUUUUCCACCCCCCUUUUUUCUAUUUUUUUUUUUUUUGUUCCUGUCAAACCCUUUUUGUAAAAAAAAAAAAAAAAAAAGAAGCAGACACCAGCAUCUAUUGACCAAAGAGAGGAUUGAAUUCUCGACACAUAUCAUCAAUAAGGUUACCGAGAACCUUCCCGAAUCAACUAAAAUGUGAGGCUUUUUUUUUUUUUUGGAUGAAGCCUGAUGAAUCACAUGCCGUCGUUUUAGGAGGACGUCUAUUUUAUCCUCGUUAUUUAUUUCCUCUCCAUCUCUAGUCCACCUCUGGCGUGGAUUCGGUUCGCCUGGAACUGGAUUUCCGAUCGGUUCGAUUGAGAAAGCCGCGAAUAUAUAUAUAUAUUCUGUAAAAGGAGGAGAGAAAUAAAUAGAUAGAUUAGAUAAAUAAAUAAAUAAAUAGGGGAGGUUGAAGAAAACAGCAGUCUGGUUGAAAUGGAUUGAAUGGCAGUGGGAGUUAUCAAGCCGAAGAUGGGCUCCUGAGAGGAUACUCGCCGUGGAACAUUUAAAAAGAUUCAUAUUAUAAAAAUAACUAGCAGAGAGAGA